UCUGGUUGAUUCUGCCAGUGACAUAUGCUUCUCUCAAAGAUUAAGCCAUGCAUGUGUAAGUGCAAGCCAUAUUAUGGUGAAACCGCAGAAGGCUCAUUAUAUCAGUCAUGGUUCAAUGGAUUGUACCCAGUUACUUGGAUAACUGCGGAAAUACUGGAGCUAAUACAUGCCAACGGAGUUCUGACCGGAGACGGGAGGAACGCUUUUAUUAGAUCAAAACCAAUCGGCGGCUUCGGCUGUCGUGUUUUUGGUGACUCUGAAUAACUUUGAGCUGAUCGCACGGUCUUGUGCCGGCGACGCAUCUUUCAAAUGUCUGCCCUAUCAACUUUCGAUGGUAGGUUCUAUGCCUACCAUGGUUGUUACGGGUAACGGGGAAUCAGGGUUCGAUUCCGGAGAGGGAGCCUGAGACACGGCUACCACAUCCAAGGAAGGCAGCAGGCGCGCAAAUUACCCACUCCCGGCACGGGGAGGUAGUGACGAAAGAUAACGAUACAGGACUCAUCCGAGGCCCUGUAAUCGGAAUGGCAACACUUUAAAUCCUUUAUGGAGGACCUAACUGAGGGCAAGUCUGGUGCCAGCAGCCGCGGUAAUUCCAGCUCAGUUAGCGUAUAUCAAAGUUGUUGCGGUUAAAAAGCUCGUAGUUGGAUCUGUGUCUCGCACCGCCGGUUCACCGCCCGUCGGUGUUAAACUGGCGCGAUGCGAGACGUCAUGUCGGUGGUGCGACUAGCUGCUCCUUUCGGGGAGUGGGCGGCGCCUUUCAAUCCCUCUGCGGUGCUCUUCAUUGAGUGUCGAGGUGGGCCGGCACAUUUACUUUGAACAAAUUAGAGUGCUCAAAGCAGGCUUAUGCCUGAAUAUAUCUGCAUGGAAUAAUGGAAUAGGACUUCGGUUCUAUUUUGUUGGUUUUCGGAACCUGAAGUAAUGAUAAAUGGAGACAGGCGGGGGCAUUCGUAUUGCGACGUUAGAGGUGAAAUUCUUGGAUCGUCGCAAGACGGACUGAAGCGAAAGCAUUUGCCAAGGAUGUUCUCGUUGAUCAAGAACGAAAGUUUGGGGCUUGAAGGCGAUCAGAUACCGCCC
rnacentral:rRNA from 1 species